GACAGAGGGUGCAAACGUUGUUCGGAAUUACUGGGCGUAAAGCGCGUGUAGGCUGCUUCGCAAGUCGGGUGUGAAAGCCCUGGGCUCAACCUAGGAAGUGCACUCGAAACUGCGGAGCUCGAGUCUCGGAGAGGAUCGCGGAAUUCUCGGUGUAGAGGUGAAAUUCGUAGAUAUCGAGAGGAACACCGGUGGCGAAGGCGGCGAUCUGGACGAUGACUGACGCUGAGACGCGAAAGCGUGGGGAGCAAACAGG
rnacentral:rRNA from 1 species